ensembl:misc_RNA Y_RNA Y RNA
GGCUUGUCUGACAGUAGGCGGUUAUUGGAACUUAUUAACAUUAGUGUCAGUAAAGUUGGUAUUCAACUCUCCACUGUUAAAUUUGACUGGCAAAA